CUUCUUCCACCUCUGCAACCAGUUAGGGCACAAUCACCACUGACUCCUGCUUGCUGCUGCAGAAACAUUGCCCUCCCUUUCUGGUAACUGACUUUGGUUUUAGAACCCAAAAUGCAGAUGGACACUGCAGCUGCCUUGUUACUUUGACAUGACUUAAAAAGUGAGAGAAGCUAGUGCUUUUAUUCUGGACAGGAACUGGAUAACUUUUCUCCAAAUUCUUGCACAUGUGGCCUGGAAAGCUUGCUGGGCCCACUGAAGCCUGAUUGCUGCCUGAAACUUCACUUCCUCUAAGAGGCUUUCCCAUUUAACUGGAAAAUCAUCGAUCUUGAGCACCACAUGAACACAAAGGUCCACCAAAGGAGAGCACACAUUUAAGAAAUCCUCCCCUCUCCAAAAAAGAGAACACUGUGUGGAAUCCCAGUAUUUUUAAAAAGCAACAUAAGCAGACCUUUGGUAAGAAGCCUGUGCCUAUUUGGCCAAGAAAAGGCUUUGAAGCACUUCCU
rnacentral:lncRNA from 12 species